rnacentral:rRNA from 1 species
AGUGGAAUUCCCAGUGUAGCGGUGAAAUGCGUAGAUAUUGGGAAGAACACCGGUGGCGUAGGCGACUAGCUGGGCCAUAACUGACACUGAGGAACGAAAGCCAGGGUAGCGAAUGGGAUUAGAUACCCCAGUAGUCCUGGCCGUAAACGAUGGAUACUAGGCGUAUCGGGUAUCGACCCCUGAUGUGCCGCAGCUAACGCGAUAAGUAUCCCGCCUGAGUAGUACGGCCGCAAGGUUGAAAACUCAAAGGAAUUGACGGGGCCCGCACAAGCGGUGGAACAUGUGGUUUAAUUCGAAGCAACGCGAAGAACCUUACCAGGGCUUGACAUGGUAGGAACCUUUUCGGAAACGAGAGGGUGCCCGCAAGGGAGCCUACACACAGGUGUGCAUGGCUGUCGUCAGCUCGUGUCGUGAGAUGUU